AUCAUUUUUAAUCAUGAUCUUCUCAUCAGCUCUACUACUGCUGGCAGCAGCUGCAUCCUGUGGUGUUUUCUGUGUUGAGCUCACUCAACCUCCAUCUCUGGUUGUGAAGCCUCAAGAAUCAUUCUCCAUCUCCUGCAGGAUUUCAGAAUCAAGCUAUUGCAUUCACUGGAUCCGUCAACCAACUGGAAAAGCACUGGAAUGGCUUGGAUACCUUUGUAGUGGUGGUAGCACUAAUAUUAAAGACUCAGUGAAAAACAAGAUCAGUUUCACCCAGGACACGUCCAAAAACACAGUGUUUCUACAGGGGAAGAAUUUUCAGGCUGAGGACUCAGCUGUGUUUUACUGUGCCAGUGAGUCACAGUGACUAAACAAGCCACAGCUCUGUACAAAAACCUGAACACAUGAAUAAGAGAAGCGUAAUA